GGAUUGCACGGAUACAAGUAUGCCAAGCUGGGGGAGGGGAUCGCACGGAUACAGCUAUGCUAAGCUGGGGAAGACCACACAUACCUCUUAACGUCUUGAGCAGUAAAUCUGGACCCUUUAACAGCGCUGUUUCUGAGGCUGAUAUCUUACACUGAUACUUUUCCGAACACUGUUGCCCCGUUAACGGAAAAGUACCCAAAAAUUGAUAGAUUAAGAGCUGUAUGUAUAAUUUCCAGCGCAGAAGAAGACGAGCGAAGUGCAGUGCGACAUGGCUCCAAGCAUACUUACAACUGCACUACAGAUGAGAUCAAUGCCUGCAACUGCACUGCAGAUGAGAUUAGUGUCUACAACUGCACUACAGAUGAGAAUGUGAUCAGCUUGGAAUGUUUCCAUCCUGGCAAAAAAUGUUUC